CAAUAAGCGGAGGAAAAGAAACUAACAAGGAUUCCCCUAGUAACUGCGAGUGAAGCGGGAAAAGCUCAAAUUUAAAAUCUGGCAGUCCUUUUUUUGGCUGUCCGAGUUGUAAUCUAGAGAAGUGUUUAUCCGCGCUGGACCGUGUACAAGUCUUCUGGAAUGGAGCAUCAUAGAGGGUGAGAAUCCCGUCUUUGACACGGACUGCCAGGGCUUAUGUGAUGCGCUCUCAAAGAGUCGAGUUGUUUGGGAAUGCAGCUCAAAAUGGGUGGUAAAUUCCAUCUAAAGCUAAAUAUUGGCGAGAGACCGAUAGCGAACAAGUACCGUGAGGGAAAGAUGAAAAGAACUUUGGAAAGAGAGUUAAACAGUACGUGAAAUUGCUGAAAGGGAAACGUUUGAAGUCAGUCGCGUUGUCCAGGGAUCAACCUUCUUUUUUGUGUCUCGGCACUUUGGGGAGGGUGUACUUUCUGGUCGACGGGUCAGCAUCAAUUUUGACCAUUGGAAAAAGGCCAAGGGAACGUGGCAUCUUUUUUUUUAGAUGUGUUAUAGCCCUUGGUUGUAUACAAUGAUUGGGAUUGAGGAACUCAGCAUGCCGUAAGGCCGGGUCUAUUUUGUAGAUCACGUCACGUGCUUAGGAUGCUGGCAUAAUGGCUUUAAUCGACCCGUCUUGAAACACGGACCAAGGAGUCUAACAUGCCUGCGAGUGUUUGGGUGGAAAACCCAAGCGCGAAAUGAAAGUGAAAGUUGAGAUCCCUGUCGUUGGGGAGCACCGACGCCCGGACCAGACCUUUUGUGACGGCUCCGCGGUAGAGCAUGUAUGUUAGGACCCGAAAGAUGGUGAACUAUGCCUGAAUAGGGUGAAGCCAGAGGAAACUCUGGUGGAGGCUCGUAGCGAUUCUGACGUGCAAAUCGAUCGUCAAAUUUGGGUAUAGGGGCGAAAGACUAAUCGAACCAUCUAGUAGCUGGUUCCUGC
rnacentral:rRNA from 1 species